rnacentral:rRNA from 1 species
AUUUAAAAUCUGGUGGUCUUUGGCCAUCCGAGUUGUAAUCUAGAGAAGUGUUACCCGUGUCGGACCGUGUACAAGUCUCCUGGAAUGGAGCGUCAUAGAGGGUGAGAAUCCCGUCUUUGACACGGACUACCGAGGCUUUGUGGUGCGCUCUCAAAGAGUCGAGUUGUUUGGGAAUGCAGCUCAAAAUGGGUGGUAAAUUCCAUCUAAAGCUAAAUAUUGGCGAGAGACCGAUAGCGAACAAGUACCGUGAGGGAAAGAUGAAAAGAACUUUGGAAAGAGAGUUAAACAGUACGUGAAAUUGCUGAAAGGGAAACGCUUGAAGUCAGUCGCGUUAGCCGGAAAUCAGCCUUGCUUUUGCUGGGUGUAUUUUCUGGUUGACGGGCCAGCAUCAGUUUUGACCGGUGGAAAAAGUCUAGAGGAAUGUGGCAUCUUCGGAUGUGUUAUAGCCUCUGGUCGUAUGCAUCGAUUGGGACUGAGGAACUCAGCACUGCUUAGGAUGCUGGCAUAAUGGCUUUAAUCGACCCGUCUUGAAACACGGACCAAGGAGUCUAACAUGCCUGCGAGUGUUUGGGUGGAAAACCCGGACGCGUAAUGAAAGUGAAAGUUGAGAUCCCUGUCAUGGGGAGCAUCGACGCCCGGACCAGAAGUUUUCUGACGGCCCUGCGGUAGAGCAUGUAUGUUGGGACCCGAAAGAUGGUGAACUAUGCCUGAAUAGGGUGAAGCCAGAGGAAACUCUGGUGGAGGCUCGUAGC